UUCCCAACUGCAGAUAGGUAUUUUUUCUUUUUCUUUUUUUUUCUCCUACAUCCACUCUGAUGUGUUAAAUAUGUCUUUGGUGAUGGAGGUCUGCAAGCAGUCUGCUUCAAAAGUUUAGGCUACACAUUGUCUUUAGGGAGGUGAUAAUGACUGACCACAUACCACCAGCUCUUCAAGCUUCUCCUUCCAACAGUCUCUGCUCACAGUCCCAGUGUUUCCAGUGUUCAGGUGCUGUAACUUGAGAUAAUAUCCAGAGUGCUUGAAUUGAAACUUCUGUGAAGAAUACACACUCAUUUGUGCCCGAACAAGAAAAAACGUGAACAUAUACGUUGUGUCUGUACCUCUGAGGUGAUAUGGGAAUCUUGGUGAUGGAGUAUCCAAGUACUGCACGUGGUUCUUGAACUUCCGUGAGCAAGCAGAGGUGGAUAAUUCAUCCUGGCAGUUUUGAAGUGCAAUAAACCCCAGGAACCUGAAAAGAGGUAAAGUUUUUCAAAUUAUUUACCGUUAAUUAUUUUUUACUGAAGAGUACACUUAGCAUUUUAAAGAUGCAAUGAAAAUCUUAUGCUGACUGAGAAAAGCAUCUGCAUGAAAAACAAUUUCUUGUUUUCUCCCACGAUAUAUUCUUAUCUUUUAAACUUUAUCCGGUGUUGUUCCUGG